GAAGCUGCUUCCCUAUGAUCCAGAUAUCUCUGCAUUUACAGAUUAAAACCUGGAAUGGUUGCAGCUGGCAUGGACUCUUGAACUUGAAUUGGGACCCUCCAGUGUGAACUCCUAUGACCUCUCCUUGAACAAAUGGGACUCUGUAAGGCU